rnacentral:rRNA from 1 species
UACAGAGGUCCCGAGCGUUGUUCGGAAUUACUGGGCGUAAAGCGCGUGUAGGCGGCCCUGCAAGUCGGGUGUGAAAUCCCAUGGCUCAACCAUGGAAGUGCACUCGAAACUGCAGGGCUAGAGUCCUGGAGAGGAAGGUGGAAUGCUUGGUGUAGAGGUGAAAUUCGUAGAUAUCAAGCGGAACACCGGUGGCGAAGGCGGCCUUCUGGACAGUGACUGACGCUGAGACGCGAAAGCGUGGGGAGCAAACAGG